rnacentral:rRNA from 1 species
GGCUCAGAACGAACGCUGGCGGCAUGGCUAAGACAUGCAAGUCGUACGGACCACCUUUUGCUUGCAUUGGGUGGUUAGUGGCGAAAGGGUGAGUAAUGCAUGGGAACGUACCCCGGACACCGGGAUAACCACGGGCUUCGGCUCUUUAGCGAAAGUGUGGCUAAUACCGGAUGAUGUCUACGGAUCAAAGGUGGGGAUCUUCGGACCUGCCGGUCUGGGAGCGGCCCAUGUCCUAUCAGCUUGUUGGUGGGGUAAAGGCCUACCAAGGCGCCGACGGGUAGCGGGACUGAGAGGUUGGCCCGCCACAUCGGGACUGAGACACUGCCCGGACACCUACGGGUGGCUGCAGUAACGAAUAUUGGGCAAUGGGCGCAAGCCUGACCCAGCAAUGCCGCGUGCAGGAGGAAGCCCUUCGGGGUGUGAACUGCUGUCAGGGGUUAGCAAACAAAGGGCGUUAACAGCGUCCGGCGUUGAGCCGCCCCAAAGGAAGCCUCGACUAACUCUGUGCCAGCAGUCGCGGUAAGACAGAGGAGGCAAGCGUUGUUCGGAAUCAUUGGGCUUAAAGCGGGUGUAGGCGGCUCGGCAAGUGUCGUGUGAAAUCCAACGGCUCAACCGUUGAACUGCACGGCAAACUGCCUGGCUUGAGGUCGGUAGAGGUGCCUGGAACUCUUGGUGGAGCGGUGAAAUGCGUAGAUAUCAAGAGGAACGCCAGAGGCGAAAGCGGGGCACUGGGCCGAUUCUGACGCUGAGAUCCGAAAGCGUGGGGAGCAAACAGGAUUAGAUACCCUGGUAGUCCACGCCGUAAACGAUGCACACUAGACGUCGGAGGUUCUGACACCGUCGGCGUCGCAGCAAAAGUACUAAGUG